GAUGAAGAACGCAGCGAAAUGAGAUACGUAAUGUGAAUUGCAGAAUUCAGUGAAUCAUCGAGUCUUUGAACGCACAUUGCGCCCCCUGGUAUUCCGGGGGGCAUGCCUGUCCGAGCGUCAUUGCUGCCCUCAAGCACGGCUUGUGUGUUGGGCCUCCGUCCUCCUCCCGGGGGACGGGCCCGAAAGGCAGCGGCGGCACCGCGUCCGGUCCUCGAGCGUAUGGGGCUUCGUCACCCGCUCUUGUAGGCCCGGCCGGCGCUUGCCGACACAUCAAUCUUUUUUCCAGGUUGACCUCGGAUCAGGUAGGGAUACCCGCUGAACUUAAGCAUAUCAAUAAGCGGAGGA
rnacentral:misc_RNA from 1 species